rnacentral:rRNA from 1 species
UACGUAGGGUGCGAGCGUUGUCCGGAAUUAUUGGGCGUAAAGAGCUUGUAGGCGGUUUGUCGCGUCUGCUGUGAAAAUCCGGGGCUCAACCCCGGACUUGCAGUGGGUACGGGCAGACUAGAGUGUGGUAGGGGAGACUGGAAUUCCUGGUGUAGCGGUGGAAUGCGCAGAUAUCAGGAGGAACACCGGUGGCGAAGGCGCUGCUCUGGGCCGGUACUGACGCUGAGGAGCGAAAGCGUGGGUAGCAAACAGG